CCUACGGGUGGCAGCAGUGAGGAAUAUUGGUCAAUGGUCGCGAGACUGAACCAGCCAAGCCGCGUGAGGGAUGAAGGUCCAGAGUAUCGUAAACCUCUUUUGUCAGGGAACAAAGGCGGGGACGUGUCCCCGGAUGAGUGUACCCUACGAACAAGCAUCGGCUAACUCCGUGCCAGCAGACGCGGUAAUACGGAGGAUUCGAGCGUUGUCCGGUUUUAUUGGGUUUAAGGGGUGGGCGGUCGGUCGGUUAGGUCGGCGGUCAACGCCGGGGGCACAACCCCGGACCGCCGUUGAAACUGGCAGUCUCGAGUGGGAGAGAAGUAGGCGGAAUGCGCGGUGUAGCGGUGAAAUGCAUAGAUAUCGCGCAGAACUCCGAUUGCGAAGGCAGCAUGCCGGAUCCACACUGACGCUGAGGCACGAAAGCGUGGGUAUCGAACAGGAUUAGAUACCCCAGUAGUC
rnacentral:rRNA from 1 species